ACGGACGUUUGGGAAAGACUUAGAAGGAUCCGAUGGUGGGCUGGGUUUGGUGGGGUCGGAACCGGAGCGAAGCGGGGAGGGGUCGGGUCUCAGGGGUCGGGAUCGGUCGGAAGGUUGAACUGAACACUUAGGCGCGGAAAACUAGACAGGUGAUCAGGGGCUCGGAUCAAGAUUAAUUGGGAAGAUUUAGGGCCGGUCGUUACAGCCUACCCCUCUUAAAAAGAAUCUCGUCCCAAGAUUCAGGUAUCAAAAGGGGGUGUGCCGUUCUUACCUCCUUGACGAGAUAGAAAGCCUGGGAAGUGCUUGUUCAGAUACUCGUCUGUUUCCCAUGUUGCUUCAUCUUCGGUGUGGUUUCUCCAGAGGAUCUUGUACAUUUU
rnacentral:lncRNA from 1 species